rnacentral:lncRNA from 1 species
CCUUCACGCUUCCUGAUUUCCCUUUGUUCUUCACCUUCAAGUCUAUGAAGUUCAAUCGAUUCUGAUUGGAUUUAAUAUGUUUCAUACCUGUUUAUUGUUUCACAUUCUAUGAAGAAAUCAUACAUCGUGAGUCAACGAUCCUGAGAUAGCAUCAUCAGCUCUCAAUCACACAAACCCUAAUCCUAAUCAUCAUCUACUCUCGGACAUCAUCAGGGUUCUUACAAGUCCAUCUCUGACAAUCAAAGUCGUGAAGACCAUCUCUGAUAUUAUAUUGUUAGUAUCCGGUUAAUUUGGGAUUAGGGAUUUUACAAGUUAUUGUUUAAAUUGAAACUAAUCUGGUGCAAGUCAGAAGUCAGAAGUAAUAAGCAACUGGGAUUUUGUUUUGGUUUUGAGGAAUUCAUGUCAUUGGAUUCCAUGCAUAGUGCUAUAAAG